CAAGGAAGAACAUGCAGCAACAGGGGAAGAAGAAGAGAAGCAGGAAGAGGAAGAAGGAAAUGAAGAGGUGGAGGAGCCAGAAGAGUCUUAGUGCAGCUCCCUGUGACACAUUAUUUCUUGAACAGGUUUUCAGGAAGCACCAGGCUGGAGCAGCCCCGCCAAAGAAACUAAAAUCCCUCCCUCGAGCAAACCACCACUACCUUUUGUGCCUGUAGACUUCUAAACCUAGAAAUGCAUAGCAGAACACACCACUGUGUCCUCCCUGUGCCCUUUAUAUAUAUAUAUAUAUAUAUAUUUGAUAAUCAAAUUGCUUGUUCAAAUGGGUCUUAUGUCAGAUGGAUCACAUUUCAGUCAAUUGUUGUAUGUUGGAAUAGUGUUGUCCACGUCACAUUUUAAGCUCCUCAGGGCAGGAACCGCGUCUUUCUCCGUGUUUAUGCACACUGCCAAACACUUUACUGCCACUCAGCCACAGGGAUGUCCUCAGAGAAAGAGAAAUUCAGCCCCCAAAACUGCAGAGAGGCUUCCUGUGCCCAAACCAUGUGAGCCACUUCUCCCUCAGCUGGCAGGUGAAAAUGAUUGAGAUUUCCAUUGUGCAGCAGGUUAAAUAAAUGUGUUUUCUGUCAUA